UACCUCCUGCCUGCCAGAGACACCCUGUGCAAGCAUGGCUUCCUGCUCAAUGUUGAUCCACACAAACAUCAGCCAAGAUAACACGGGGAGGAACAAGGCCUCUGACCUAGUUUGGGAGAAAGCAUACACAUUAGAAUAGAAGUCGAAUCCCGAUCUUCACGGCUGCACUGGUGUUUCAGGUGGAAUGUCACGUCCUACCCGGUGCUGAGCAGCAGGUACGUGGCCGUGAGAGAGAGGAAUAUGCUGAGGAGUCGAUGGAAGAGCCGAGUAGAGCUCAACAAUGGAACCAGUAUGGACGAGCCUGAGAAGAGAGAGGGAAUUCGAAGGUGUCGUAAUGGAUCUCAUGUCGCUCACGCCCCCCCCCACCUACCUAACGUGGUCCAGCUGAUGAUCUGAUUGAGAAGCGGCAGGCCCUGCUUUUGCUGCAGGCUGGAGUGUGUGAGCGAGGGCACGUACGCGCACACUGCCACAUGGAGCAUCUGUGGAGUUUUGUCAGGUACAACUUCAGAAUAAAUAAAUUCAGGUACACAAUCACACACAAACACAGCAUGACAUGUGCUGCAGAUACCUGGGUAAUAAACUGCUGUCUGUCACCGAAGCUCAGCGGCGUCCUCUGUCUCGAUGACCAGAGGUAACAGGCUGAAGUGAAGAGGGCGAGCACACCUGCACAGGUGCUGAGCAGACAAACAAAAUAUGAUAUUUUAGUUAAGCAUAGGGCUUCAUUUUGCACAGGUUGAAUUAGCAGCUAUGUUCCUGACUCGUCCAUUAAUCAAAGUCCUUUGUGAUUUUUAGGUGAAAACAAUAUCGUGAGGCUUUUUCAGUAGUUGUUUAAAAGUGAAUGUUUCAUUCAUUGACCUGAAUGUGGCUUUUGAGUUGUUGUUUGGUUUUUAUACAUUCUGAUAAACUGAAGGUAACACAGGAAGCACUCACACCAGAUGGAUGUUGGCCUCUCUACCGACAACUGGCAUCAGGGGGAAAAGAGCCAAAAACAAGCAGCCAAGAAACCAGCUCAAAGAGCGGAGCUACAUGGAAACAGAAACAACAAGUUCAUAUGGAGCCAUAAUCUUUGACAUGGUUACCUUGGCCUUCCCGAAAAGUCCCGACAUGAAGGGCCAGAGGGAGAGGACAGCCAGGCCCACAGUCAGCAUGGCGCGAUGGAAGAAGCUCACCACCUGGGGGCAGCAAAGGUGAACUGUCAGCCACAGAACAGAGCAUAUAGAUAAUUGUAGGUUUUAGAUUAUGUCGUAGGUAGAAAAUAUGCAUCUAGCUGUACAUUAGAAAACCAUCAAAGACACCUACCAGUAACUCAAUCCCAAAUGCCACCAGCACAAAAUAGCCCAAACAUUUCCACAGUGGAAGAGAAGGCGCCGACUUGAUCAAAUCUUUCAGAGUGCCGGACCUGAAAUGGAUCAUUAAUACAAUUAUUUUUCAGUAAGAAAAUUGAGAAAAAGAACGAGAACACUACAAAGACAAGUGUCACUCACUCUUUCAGGACAGAGUACCAUACAGGGACCGGCAGCAGGCAGUAGAUAUAAUAGGUAAUCGGGCUCCUUUGGACCAGCAGGAACCCAGAGAUCACUACUGUCACACACAGACACAGCCUCUCCAGGGUAUAGCUGCGAGUCUGCAAUAUGCACACACACUGGGGCGUUACCAAACAAUGUGACAGAGAAAUUUGUUUCCCUUAAACUUAUUUUGGCGGCAGGGCAGCGGGAUUAUAUAUUGAGCGCCCUGACCUGGUUGAGGAGACUGGGGUGCCUGUGGAGGCUGGCAUGAGUCUUCAGGAUGACCAUGACAACAUAUGAGGUCCAGCCUACAAAUCCCAGCACCACACUGCAGCCCAGGAAGAACCUGUCAUAGGUAUGGUAGUACGCCAGGCCCUCCAAGGAGCGGGAGAUCAGAGACUUGCACAGAGAGAUCUGAGGGGAGACAAGGAAAGGAAGAGGAGUUUGUUAAGUGCAUGGGUGUCAAACAGACAGAAAUGUGUUUAAUUUCACUUUAUGUGUGUAUUUCUAAAGCUAGUUUGGUCUUAAGUUUUAUUUAAAGUCCUAUAUUAUAUGAACUAACAUCUAAUACUAAAUGUUGGGUAUUACAAUACUCACGGCAUCUCCGUACUUCUCCAGCUGAAUCAGUAUUCUGGCCUUGUGGGUGAACUCUGCUUGUUUUGACUCAGUCAGUUGUCUGGGAAAAUACAAAAAGAGACAAAGCAAUAAAGAUAGACUCCGUGAAAUUGCAUUUGAAAUGGCGUCUUAGACACAAUGUGUCCGUGAAUGUAAAUUUCUCAGUUGCUGCCAUCUGGUUAAUGUUCUUACUAAAAUCUAUUUCUGAAUCCACACUCUCGUUGUGACCGAAGACUGACACAAGUCCCUGGUACACAUGCUGUGAUGAAAAGUAAAUUUGUCUUAUUAAAGGUUAUAUAUUUAAGUUUUCCCUGCAGCUGAACGGGUUUUUUUCUGUGCCAAAGGCAGGUAAUGCCGACUGUCGCUGCAGUGGCGAGACCGGCUGGUGUGGUGCUGACUGUUUAGCAAAUUGUGUUUCCCAUUGCUGAACCCACAAUGUUUGUGCUACAUUGGUAAGUAAAAAGCUAUAAAAGGAAUGGAAACCUUCAAAAAGCUUUUUUAACUCACUUGCUGAUGAUCAUUAUUUAACUUAUUGUACUUACUGAUAUGGGGUGAAGAGAAAGGACAAGGUUGUCUCCUUUUUCUGGGUCAUUUUCAUCUAGAAAAAAAAUACAUAAACAACUCAGUCACCCUAAACAACCUUCCAUGUGCUUCAGCACUAUUUAUAACUUGAAAGAUAAGAAGUUUCCCGCCAUUCCUGACCAAUAUGAAUAACAGUAAUAUUAUAUCAGUAGCAGCAGAGAUGAAUGCUGCCAUACCUUGAAUUGCUGUAGUACUUGAAUGGCGUUAGUGUACAUGCUCUCUGCUUUGAACAGGUCACUGUUGUUCAGGUAGAGAAGAGGCAAAACACCCUGUAAUGACACAAAUACACAUGAAGAUGAGCAUAAAGUCAUAAAAACUGAAUAAUUAUCUUUUUAGAAAAUAUUAUAAACUCACAUGAGAAUUUCUACAACUGAACAGAUUUUCACAGCCACUUAAAGGUUCUUAGGAAAUAAAUGUCAGAAAAAUGUAGCUCUGCCUUAUCUCUAAACUUACAACUGAGUUGACAGGAAAGGGCACGCCGAUGAGAGAAGCCAUGAGGGGAGCAAUGUCCGCCUGCAGAAAACAAACAAACUAUGUAAAAGAUUUCACUUCGCCCUUUGUCCUUCAGUUGUAUCACUGCUUUCACACACUGUGAAUGUAGUGACCCUGAUUCCUGUUACUGUCGUGCUAGGCCACGGGUCUUACCUGACUGACGUCCGCCCUGUGGAGGUGCUCCAGUUUCCAAUCUGAGAGAAACAGGGGGGAAUAGGGACAGGAAAGAAUAAAAAUCAAGUAAAGUAUAUAGUAUAAUACAUUUUUCCAAAAUGCUGCUCUGCCUUAUGAGUGAUAUUCAGCAUCUUGUCCUAUGUUUUAAACUACACACAAAUAAUUGCUCUAAGUUGGUGUCCUAGGUUGGUCCUAAAAACAGCUUUAAACUGUUUGAGAGACCUUUAAGUAAAGCGGCUCUAAUAACAGUGCAUGGGUUUAGCACCUUGAAGGUAUCCAUCGUCAUACAGUUGGGGUUCAGUGACUCUACGAGCCCUUUGGACUCCAGCUCCCCACACCACUAGAGGGGUGAGCGUCUCAGAGGGAUGCCCUGCACCGUGAGAGCCUGCAAGAAAACACACACAAAUUUUGUCAUGCCAUGAUCAGAGGUGAACACGUAGGCUGUUCUGCCAUCAUACCCAAAGAAUUCCUCCACUAUGGACACCAGCUCAGCCACACCAGUGUCAACUAAAGCAAUGUUGUCCAGAAACACACAUGGGGACUUACCUUUAGCAACAGCACUAACAUCCUCAUAGAAGCCUGCGAUGAGAGCAACGUGACCAGGCCGAGACUCAGUGGGCACACGCGUGUGUGACACACCCCAGGUGCCUUUCUCCUCCAUCACACGCCUGAUAUUAAGAAACACACAUGCAUACACACACCAGUUACUUAGGAUUUGUGCACAAACUAUGAGAAAAGACAGAGUAUGACAGCAACACACACACUUUUUGCAAAUGUAUAUACUGCUUAUUAUAGGAAUGGACUAAUUAAACACAUACACAGAUAUUUUUGGUAUUAGCUUCCCCACCUCAGGAACGGGGCCCUGGUUGAGCCAUUGGGGAGUAACGUGAAGAGACUGUCCGCUCGGAGGCCAUCGGCCACCAGUAACACCAGUCUGGAGGCGGGCGGGGCCAGCGGUAUAGCCUGGGGCGUCAUGCCGUGGACCAGGGGGGAGGUGAAGUAGAUGUCGAAGAUAGAAAUAAAGAAGAUCACGUGGACCGUCAGUCCAACCAGAAAGAAAGUGAUCAUCCUCAUUUUGCCGGUUAUGCAGAACAACCUGAAGACAGAGGAGGAAAGAGGAAGGAGCUCAUGUAUCUGGAGGUGAAACAACAUGAGAAAUGAAAAUGAAAAUAUUACAAUACUCAGUUAUACUGUCUAUCUUUAACAAAAAGAGAGAAUUAGUCAUUAUAAAGGCUCAGCAUCGUUUAUGAAUUCUAUCUAAUCUCUAGAUCCUUAAGAAUUAUUACAUAGAAUACUUGAUUAAAAACUGUAUUUAGUGUAAUUUUUGUUUUAUGGAACUCACGUUCAUCUCUUCUGAUAUAAGCAAUUUGAAGACAUUAUGUUUCAAACCUGAAUUUGUUUUAUGUGGUAUUUGGAGAUACUUCAUUCUUUUGUUUGUUUAAAAAAAAUCAAUUUAGAAGGUUUAUCAAACCUUACUGGAAGGAUAUGUUCUCAGGAAAUUACUUAGAGCAAUUUAAUCUAUUUUUUUUGUGACUUACUCAUUUCCUUUUUCAUAUUCUAGCUAAUGACUUGUCGUGCCUGUGUGAUGAUAUAUGUAUCAGUCUGAUUCUGGAUCAUUUAGGGCGAUUUUAAUGUUGGAUUGAUUCUUUAUGUGCAUUGUUUUUGUCUGAGCUUUGGUGAAUUGUGUGACUUAGGUUCAGCAUAAUUUAAACUUGUUAAGAUAUAUUUCCCAACGCAAAGGCCAAAACAAUCCUUCUGUCACCAAUGGCCAACCUGCACAAACAAUGACUUCUACACAUUGAUUUCUUUACAUUUCAACUGGCCUCAACACACUGACAGACGUGAAAUCUGACGUGACUCAGCGAAAGAGGCCAUGAAACGAGUCUUACCUGUUCGUAACGUCAGCGGAAUCCCACCACACAACCGGAGGAUACCGUCUCGUUAACGAAUGAAUGGAUGAGCCGAAUAAUCUACUUCCAUUUCACCUAUUCCCCUUUUAACACACUGGUUCAACUUCCAUUUUAUCGUCUUAAAUCCCCAAUUACAGACACGGCGACACCGACAGGCUGUUGCGGCUGUUGCUGUGGUCAAACAGAUCAACGUAAUCUGUACGUUUCCUAAACCAAGUGUCCUUCUUUUAAGAAGAUUACUUCAAGAAACACAGGAGCCACGAGCGUCCACUUCCUUGUUGUGACUGACGUUGACCUGUGAACCCCGCAGCGGAAUUGUGGGUAAUGUAGUUUAAAUAUGUAUCACCCAUGGACCUUUUCUUAUAAAUAAAUGACGUGU